UAACGCCCGCGUUUUCAUGGACACCGCACCAGUCCAGCUAAUACUAUAACACAGUUAGGAGGUAGCAUGCUAGCUAGCUAAUUCUUGUCUCAUUGCGUGGUCUGAUAAACAGUAAAUUCAUCAAAUUCAGCGCCGCCGAAUCCUGUUUUCCAAGCUACUGUAGCUGUUACGCUUUGUGGUUUCUAUGGAAACACAGCCGUCGUUUCCUUGAGUCGUUAGUUAUACGAAAGUGGGCGAAGUUUCAUCUAAGCAGGGUUGUAUAAUCAAAGAGGCGUGCAUUAUUUAUUUAUUUAAAGUUUCCUUGACAUAGUGGUUGAAAACAACUACUUUACCUUCCUUUGUGGCAAAAAAAACAAAAACAAAAAAUGUCUGCCACGCGCCAUAUAUUCUGGCAAGGACGACAAAAUGGCGGCCAAAUUGGAAUUGAAGUGGGAGUUACGAGUGGAGUGUGGCGACAGGUGGGCAAGACAGAAGAUUCCACGGGACUGAGCAGACUGGACGACAGACGACUCAGCUAACACCAGAAGAUGGCGGCGGUGGAACAUUUGGGGUGCUAGCUGCCGUUAAAACCCGAAGAAUGGUCGUUGUCGCCUCCCUCCGCACUGUUUACACCUGUGUAAGAGUUGUCCGUGAUUGAUGUGGAGCUACCGCCACCGUUGGACUGCAGCUCGCCCACAUGGUCUCUGGAUAGUUCUGGAACUCAUUGUUCCUCGCCUUCAUCGCAGGCCAGACAGGCUAUCGUCCACCCAUGAUGUGAAGGCAGCGUAUGAACAUCAGAGGUUCACAAAGUCCAGACUGACAACAGCUGAUUCAAGCCUGACAAGCAGAGUCUGAAAUAUCAUAAAAUGGCCACCGACUGAGACCCUUUGGAUGUAGGUGACAACAUGAUCCUUCCCCUGGUGUCACCCCUCAGGACAAACCUUCCUGCCUCUCCGAUGGAACAACAAAGCUGCAGCCAGAAUCUACAUACAGCUCAGACUUCCCUCUUCUCUCUGAUGAGAACACUCCCGCCGGGUCGGAGCUGCUGCUCGAGAGGCUGCUGCAGGGAGACCGACGCAACACGAGACGCAU